rnacentral:piRNA from 1 species
UGUGAGUACGAGAGCAAAGAAGGUCAAAC